rnacentral:rRNA from 1 species
UACAGAGGUGGCAAGCGUUGUUCGGCAUUACUGGGCGUACAGGGCGCGUAGGCGGCCAUCUAAGUCAGACGUGAAAUCCCCGGGCUCAACCUGGGAACUGCAUUCGAAACUGUUUGACUAGAGUUUGAGAGAGGGAAGUGGAAUUCCACAUGUAGCGGUGAAAUGCGUAGAUAUGUGGAGGAACAUCAGUGGCGAAGGCGGCUUCCUGGCUUAAAACUGACACUGUGGCGCGAAAGCGUGGGUAGCAAACAGG